UACAGAUCCUGGUCCACAUUUUGAACCUUA
rnacentral:piRNA from 1 species